rnacentral:rRNA from 1 species
GACAAACGCUGGCGGCGUGCGUAACACAUGCAAGUUGAACGCGAAUAUAUAAGAAGUGGUAACACGGAUUGUAUGUUUGAGUAGCGGACGGGUGAGUACAACAUGAGAACCUAUCCUUCAAAGGGGGACAACGUUUGGAAAAGGACGCUAAUACCCCAUAAGCCGAGAGGUUAAAGCAGCGAUGCGAUGGAGGAGGGGCUCGUGUCCUAUCAGCUAGUUGGUGGGGUAAUGGCCUACCAAGGCGACGACGGGUAGCCGGCCUGAGAGGGUGUACGGCCACACUGGAACUGAGAUACGGUCCAGACUCCUACGGGAGGCAGCAGUGGGGAAUAUUGGGCAAUGGGAGAAAUCCUGACCCAGCGACGCCGCGUGAACGAAGACGGCCUUCGGGUUGUAAAGUUCUUUUAUGUGGGAAGAAAACAAUGACGGUACCACAUGAAUAAGCCCCGGCUAACUACGUGCCAGCCGCCGCGGUAAGAC